rnacentral:rRNA from 1 species
GACGAACGCUGGCGGCGUGCUUAACACAUGCAAGUCGAACGAAAAGAGGGAAAGAGCUUGCUCUUUCCGGAAUUGAGUGGCAAACGGGUGAGUAACACGUAAACAACCUGCCUUCAGGAUGGGGACAACAGACGGAAACGACUGCUAAUACCGAAUAAGUUCCAAGAGCCGCAUGGCCCAUGGAAGAAAAGGUGGCCUCUACCUGUAAGCUAUCGCCUGAAGAGGGGUUUGCGUCUGAUUAGCUGGUUGGAGGGGUAACGGCCCACCAAGGCGACGAUCAGUAGCCGGUCUGAGAGGAUGAACGGCCACACUGGAACUGAGACACGGUCCAGACUCCUACGGGAGGCAGCAGUGGGGAAUCUUCCGCAAGGGGCGAAAGCCUGACGGAGCAACGCCGCGUGAGGGAGGACGGCCUUCGGGUUGUAAAACUCUGUGAUCCGGGACGAAAAGGCAGAGUGCGAAGAACAAACUGCAUUGACGGUACCGGAAAAGCAAGCCACGGCUAACUACGUG